GUGCUGAGAACUGAACCUGGAUCUGCUGCAAGAGCAACAGUGUCUGAGGAGGCCAGAAGACAGCAUCCUAUCCCUGGAAACUGGAGUUACAGGUGUUGUGAGCUGCCAUGUGUGCUGGGACUUGAAGCAGAGAACAGCCAGUGCUAGUAAGUGCUGAACCAUCUCUUUUGUUCCCAGCCAAAGGGUUUUUGUCUCCGGAGGGAGGUUCUCACACUGUGCAGUCACAACUUCAAGCCAGGCGGAGUCCACCUUACACAUUUUUGCCAAAAUCUGAAUUUUCCUCAUUUGCAGGAAAGGCUUGUGUAAGGGACUGAUACUUCUAUCAGUAUCAGCAUCUCCCCAUCUUCUAAGUUUAGGCUCUGCAAUCACCAGAGCAGAGAAAGACAAGGCUAUUUUCUUAGGCUUCCAGGGAAGGGCGUGUGUGAUAUCAAAGAAGGCAUGGGCUUGUGGAGAUGCAGCUCCGUAUGAUGGAGAGUCUUGGAUGUCAGCAUGACUACAUCUGGAAUUAACUAAAACACAAGCAGCUCUGUACAAUGAUGACCCCACUUUUAAUUUGUAUCUUUUGAGAUUGAAAGAGCCCAUCUCAAACUUGUGCCACAGCUUCUGCUGGCAGCUUUUAUAAAUUACACCGAAGAAGGAGACUUGCUCUCAAUUCACCUGCUUGCUCUCACUCUCAAUGGCAAGUCCAUUCCUUCAAUGGCAUUAGAGCCUACAUCUUGACAAUUCUGGCAUAUACUGAAGAGCAGCUGAGACAGCCAGCCUCACAGACUGGACAACCAUUGGAUUCUUGGACCUUCUGUUGGUAGAUCACCAUUUUGGACUAGCUUACCUAUACAGCCUGUAAGCCAUUCUAAUAAAUCCUAUUCUAUCAGUGCAGUUUCUCUAGAGAACCCUGACUACGAUAGACUUUGCUACCAUGAGAGUAUAGCAGUGAUGGGCCUGACAUCCUGGGUUUGGGGAGGAUUGAGGUAGGACUUUAGAACUUUGGGCUAGAAAAGCCAUUGAGUGUUCAAAGCUUAGUGAACUGUUCUGUGGGAGCUUGGAAGAUAAGAGUGUUGAGGGCAGAGCUGUGCAUGGUGGCACAUGCCUUUAAUCCCACACUUGGGAGGCAGAAGCAAUGUAGAAGAAGGUGGAAGCCUGCCUUGUGAAGUUCUAGAGAGAAGUUUGAGAGUUCCUUAAAGAGUCUGUCAGGAGGGUCAACUGCUAUUUUUAAUUGAGAAUCUGUGGUUGUGGUCAGCUGAGGCUGAAGAAUUAGCUGUGAUUAACAAGAGACCAGCACCACUGAAGCAAAACCUCUGCUUUCCUGGGACAAUUGAUGCUCGUCAGCCAGGGCUAAGAAAUUAGCAGUGAGACCAUGGCAGAUGAGCCAUGGUGGUGCACACCUUUAAAUCCAGCACUUGGGAAGCAGACAUAGGCAGAUCUGUGUUUGAGGCCAGCCUGGUCUACAGAGUGAGUUUUAGGACAGCCAGGACUACACAGAGAAACCCUAUCUUAAAAAAAAAAAAGACGAAGAAGGAAAAGGAGAAAGAGGAAGAGGUAGAAGAGGAGGGGGAAAGAAAAGAGAAGAAAAGGAGGAGGAAGAAGAGGAGGAGGAGGAGCAUCACUGAGCUGAACUCUGGGAAAUAUUUCCUGAGAGCCAGCACACAGAAGUUGUGUUCCAGAGGCAGCCAAGGUUGUACCUCAAGCUGUCAGCAAAACUUCCUUGGUCAUGUGUAAAUCACCCUGGUGGCACUGGUUUUGAAGGCAUGAAGGGGACAUGGAGAGCAGCUAAGGCUCGGCACUGUGAGAGGCUAGGGAAGGCCAUUGGUGAAGGUGCAGCUUCAGUGACAGUUGAAGGCCUAGGAUUGAGGGAGUCAUGCAGAGAAGUUGAGGCCUGGCACCAUGAAGAAAGCCCUGAAGAUGCUAUUGGUAAAGGUGCUUCCCAGUUGCAGCAGAAGACCCCAGCAUUUUGGAGAUCCCAGUGUGGUGAGAUGACCACCAAGAACAGCAGUAGUCAUUAAAUGGAGGCAGCAGGAGCCUAGAAAACAAACCAUGUGUGUUGCAGAUAGCUGAGCCAAAGAAGUGACCCACCCAAGUCCUUUGGAGGAGACUGGAAGACUGAGUAGACUCCAGACAGUAGACACUGGGUUAUUUACUGGGGGAGGGACGGUAGCCCCAGCUGUUGGUCCUUCUUGUUUGUUCUUCAUGGGGCAGUUGGGGUGGGGGGGGCAGAGAACGUCGCUGGGGUAAGACUUGGUCUUACUAGAUAUUUAGGGUUGCUGUACAGUAAUA
rnacentral:lncRNA from 1 species